GCAAUAGCCGUCAUUUCAACGUCUGGGUUAAAUAUAGACCAGAUAUAGUCCGGCUAUGUGUAACCCACUUUUAGCCCAAAUAACAUUUAAUCUGGAUAAAUGUAUUUUUUUUGCAAAAUAACUUGUGAGAUGUAUGAUAUUCCAUCAUGUACGCAGAGUCUAACGUGAUUACAAGUUGUUUGGUUUACUUUAUUUUACAUGUUAUAUGUGUAGGCUGUGCGUAGCCACGAUUUAGCUCGUAUUCAGACCCGGCUAUUGUAGCCCACUUUUUGUCAAAACUGAUUAAUUGUAUUUUUUUGCCAGGCAGUGCAUGAAAUGGUUAAUAUUCAAUCAUGUUCGCAUUGGUAUGAUAUCAAGGUUCAAUACGUCAUUUCACGGCAUGGUAGAUCACGAUUUAGCUCCGAAUUGGACGGGCUAUAUGCGGUCUGCUUUAGCCCACCUGGCGAAAUUAUUGCAAUCUGGGCUCAGAUAUAGACCAGCGACCUAGAAUAUUAGUCUUUGAAAUGUUUUCGCUUACACAGCUUAAUAUAUAUUUUCUGUCAAACAUUCAUACACAAUCUACGAUAAAAAUAUCUAAUCAAAUGCAAUUGCAUUUCCCAACCGCUAGAUGGCACAAUUGAAACACUACUGAGACAUGUCUACUGGAACUAAUGCCAUUGCGUGACUAGAUCACUUAAGCCAAAUCUCGCGAUAAACAUUUCCGCCAUUUUAUUUUACACGAGGCAGCUGUCGGAGUGCAACGGGUGAGCAACAGUCUGAGUGAAAACCUUCACAUUUCUACUUCGAUCUUAAGAAAGCCAUACAGGUUUGGAACCAAGUGAAAACGCAGUGAUGACCAGCUUUCCAUCAGCUAUGGAAUGUGAAAUAAAAAAUGCUAUUUCUAAUCAUUUCAAACAAGCACCAGGGAGGG